AGACCCUCCUUGAACGUUGAAAAUGUCAGAAAAGUUACCACAGGGAUAACUGGCUUGUGGCAGUCAAGCAUCCAUAGCGACGUCGCUUUUGGAUCCUUCGAUGUCGGCUCUUCCUAUCAUUGUGAAGCAAAAAUUCACCAAGCAUUGGAUUGUUCACCCACUAACAGAGAACAUGAGCUGGGAUUAGACCGUCAUGAGAUGGGUUAGUU
rnacentral:ncRNA from 1 species